rnacentral:rRNA from 1 species
UAGAUACCCUGGUAGUCCACGCCGUAAACGAUGAGAGCUAGUUGUCAGGCAGCAUGCUGUCUGGUGACGCAGCUAACGCAUUAAGCUCUCCGCCUGGGGAGUACGGCCGCAAGGUUAAAACUCAAAGAAAUUGACGGGGGCCCGCACAAGCGGUGGAGCAUGUGGUUUAAUUCGACGCAACGCGAAGAACCUUACCUGGUCUUGACAUCCUCAGAACUUUCCAGAGAUGGAUUGGUGCCUUCGGGAACUGAGUGACAGGUGCUGCAUGGCUGUCGUCAGCUCGUG